rnacentral:rRNA from 1 species
AGUGAACGCUGGCGGUAGGCCUAACACAUGCAAGUCGAACGGCAGCACAGUAAGAGCUUGCUCUUACGGGUGGCGCGUGGCGGACGGGUGAGGAAUACAUCGGCAUCUACUUUUUCGUGGGGGAUAACGUAGGGAAACUUACGCUAAUACCGCAUACGACCUACGGGUGAAAGCAGGGGAUCUUCGGACCUUGCGCGAUCGAAUGAGCCGAUGUCGGAUUAGCUAGUUGGCGGGGUAAAGGCCCACCACGGCGACGAUCCGCAGCUGGUCUGUCAGGAUGAUCAGCCACACUGGAUCUAAAACACGGUCCAGACUACUACAGGAGGCAGCAGUGAGGAAUAUUGGACAAUGGGCACAAGCCUGCUCCAGCCAUGCCACGUGGGUGAAGAAGACCUUCGGAUUGUAAAGACCUUUUAUUGGGGAAGAAAGGCUGCAGUUUUAUACCACGAUAUUCUGACGGUACCCAAUGAAUAAGCUCCGGCUAACUUCGUG